GGCAAUUUCGUUAAAAUAUGUCCACACUGAUUUUCGAGUGUCCUAUGGGUUGUCAUUUAUAUUUCAUCAAAACUAACAACAUUUUAUAUCAGGAAGUGGAUUUUAUUACAUUGCUAUUAUAAUUUCUUUAUAAGACACAAACAAACAGCUUGCCAAUCCAUUUAUUAUUAAAGAUAUGAAGAAAAUUUAAUUUUGAGGCACCCAAUUUUGACGUGUCCCACAGCAACCAGUCUGUUUAAAUGUUCAUUUUAUUUACCAAUGUGAAGCAGUAUUAUUCAAGUAAAGGUAUAAAUAAAUCACAAAGGGUGAGAGCUAUGAUAAUAAAACGUUAAAUUUACGUCCUUUUAUAGUAAUUAUUAGUAUUUUUAUCAAUUAAAUCGUGUCCUACGAUUUCGACCAUGUGCGGAAUUCCGUUUUGUAACCGUAAUAUACUCUAAAAUAAAGAUAAAAACUACUAAAUAUGUAUUUUUUUCACAUAAAUGGCAACAUUUCUAUUGAAUCCACCAUUUUGAAGAGGUUGUCAUAGAAAACUCGAACCGUCAGUCGUGUCGAAACUUCUAAAGCGUUACCGUGCAAAAAUUUCGCUCCGACUUGUAACUGGGAUUUUUCGUGGGGAAAAUGCCUCUGACCAAUGCUGAGAAGCAACGACGCUAUAGGGAAAGAUUAAAAGACAACCCUGAAAAAAAAGAAGAAAUAAGAAAAAAAAUCUAGAGAGAAUCAAACGGAAGACAAAAAAGAUUCAAAUUUUACAGAAGAAGAAAAGGCUGCAGAAAAAAGGAAGCAGUGGCGAAAACAAAAGCAAAAUCAUAUUUGUGUUAUAUGUUUUGAAUAGAGCAUGUCAGUUUAAUAAUUUUACUUUUGAAAUAUACAAUACUAAAUAAA